CGACAGGAGAUCGCGACAAGAUGGUCCAAAUCCAGGAUAAGAGACUUGAGCAAGACCAGAUGUUACUGAUUUGACAAGUUGGGAUAUCUAGUCAGAGAUUGUCCUCAACUCAAGGAUCAGAUGAGGGCUAUUGCAGUGACGGUUAGUAGCGAGUCAGAGGAUAAUGUCCUAGAGAUAUCUGAUAAGAUAUUUACUUCUUUCCAGUAGUAAAUUUUAGAUUCUGCAUACACCUAUCAUGUAUAUUGCAGAGAAGAGCAGUUUGACUCCGUAGAGAGCAGAAAGGUAUUAUUUAUCUGCUAGAUGGAUCGAGUUGUACGAUCAAAAAUAUCAGGACGGUCAGUUGAAGAACACAUGAUGAUGUAGUAAAGAGAUUGAGAGAGAUCCAAUACAUAUCCAAUUUCAAGCAAAAUAUUAUCUCACUGAGCAGAUUGGAUUCGAGAGGCUACAGGACAGUAGCUGAUAGAAGAAUCCUAAAAAUGUUGCGCGGUGAUAACAUUAUUUCGAAGGAAAAGAAGAGGAUGAGAGGACAUUACUACCUGACGGAGAGCCUAAUGCGAGGUGGAGCUCCAGGAGCUAGGAGAAGCCCAAAACGAGGUGGAGCUCUAGGUGGAG
rnacentral:lncRNA from 1 species